UCACUUAGUAUGUCGUAAUUCAGGAAACAUAACCAUGGUAAAGGAAUUUAAAAGUGAAUAAAAAAUGUGCUUAUUCCGAUAUUCACUUUCUACAAGCAUUAUCAAUUUAUCACUGGGAAGAAAAAAAGGAAUGACAGGAAUUUGAGAAUACGCAUCAAUUGCAGCUUGUUUUAAAGUUGCAGCACUAUUUUCCGACGGAGUUUGAGAAUCCUUCGUUGCUUUUGGAAUUGAAAAAGACCUUUGGUGUGACUUAUUGGUAUUUGCUUUAGUGGGUGACGAGACAGCUGAAGGAAUUAAAGAAAGUAAGUUCUCCCUUGUGCGACUACUUAAAGGGCUACUAUCAGUGGAAAAGACUGGAGUUGAAGUCACCGUUGAUAAUGCUACGGAUGCGUUAGUUUCGCAAAAUGUUGGCUCUACAGAUGUCGAGCCUUUGGACAAAUUGAGCAUAGGGGGUGGAUUUGAAGUAAUCGGUAUUGACUUAAACUUCGAAGGAGAUAAUUCGUAUAAACUUUUUGAGCUAGUAGAAAUACGACGCCUGUAGUUGGACCUUCUAGGAUACGAAGAUUGGCUAAACCUUCGGAAUGUGGUUACAUUCGUCGAUUGCGAACCACCGGACGGAUUCCCUUUAUCCAUAUUAGAAACAGAGGUAAGGAUAUAUUGUUUCCAUUGUCUAUUAACAUUCUUAUCAUAAAAAAUCGUCACAAUGCAGCACAGGGUCAUCGUCUCAGCGACAAAGGCACUUACUAAGGCAAUCCAUGGAUACAAUAAUGUAUAGAAAAAAAACCAGCGAGUCAAAUCUGAAGACGAGACGUUGUCCUUUUGGGAAAACAGUUUAAGGUAAAAUUGAAACCAAGCGGUAGAAAAAUAAGGAACGCCUCUUGUAAUGAGAAGAAUACGAAAUGCAUGCCAAACCCAUCGAACAGCAGUCGUUAUAGAUUCUUUCCAAGGACGACGAGAAGGUUGCAAAAUAGCCUUUGAGAGGUAUAUAAUAAAUUUGUACAUCGUUUCUGGAGAAGAAGCUACUUGAAUAGACUUAUGUAUCUGGACAGCUAAAGCCUCACGUAAAAUCACACAUUCAAUUUCACUUUUAGAGUUAGUAGCUGGAAGGAGGUAUUUCAAUAUGUCUUCCACCAAUAACCUGCAAUAAACGAGUUCAUUUUCCUCUUUCUCUAAAGCAAUAUGGGGAUGGAGACUAUGAUAGAUCGUGUCUAUUUCAAGAAUUUGGCCCUGAGGUAAUGCGAAUCUCAACUUAGCUUCCUCAGUAUUUUCGAUAUGCUUUAUGAGGAGAAAUGGAAUUUCAUAAAAUAGCAAGUCCAUUGCGUCCUGGCGUGAUAAUCGCUUUUCCAGUUCAUGUACGAUUGAUCCGCCAACUUGUUCGCAUUGAGAAGGAAAUAGAGCAUCUUUGCUGAUUCCUGAGUACCAUGAGUAGACAUAU